AAUGUCUUCUUUUAGAGAACCACUGAAUGGAAUGAAACCAAACAUGGCAUGAAUGUUCCUUAUGAGGUGCUGACCAAGUGUUGUUACUUUGCAGUCGGUCCAUCAUCCAAGAUGGCCGACAGCGGGGGACUUAGUUUAACAUAGGACCUAUGGGAAAUACAUACAAAUGUCUUCUUUUAGAGAACCACUGAAUGGAAUGAAACCAAACAUGGCAUGAAUGUUCCUUAUGAGAUGCUGACCAUGUGUUGUUACUUUGUAGCCGAUCCAUCAUCCAAGAUGGCCGCCAGCGGGGGACUUAGUUUAACAUAGGACCCUAUGGGAAAUGCAUACAAAUGUCUUCUUUUAGAGAACCACUGAAUGGAAUGAAACCAAACAUGGCAUGAAUGUUCCUAAUGAGGUUCUGACCAAGUGUUAUUACUUUGUAGCCGAUCCAUCAUCCAAGAUGGCCGCCAGCGGGGGACUUACUUUAACAUAGGACCCUAUGGGAAAUACAUACAAAUGUCUUCUUUUAGAGAACCACUGAAUGGAAUGAAACCAAACAUGGCAUGAAUGUUCCUUAUGAGAUGCUGACCAAGUGUUGUUACUUUGUAGCCGAUCUAUCAUCCAAGAUGGCCGCCAGCGGGGGACUUAGUUUAACAUAGGACCCUAUGGGAAAUACAUAAAAAUGUCUUCUUUUAGAGAACCACUGAAUGGAAUGAAACCAAACAUGGCAUGAAUGUUCCUUAUGAGAUGUUGACCAAGUGUUGUUACUUUGCAGUCGGUCUAUCAUCCAAGAUGGCCGCCAGCGGGGGACUUAGUUUAACAUAGGACCCUAUGGG